CAGCUUCCCAGGAUGCCUUUAAAAGCAAAAAAAGUCAAACUUCACGUUAGCAGCUCAGCUGCUUCAAAUAACACAGAAGGAGCUAGGGGGAAGAAAAUAAACAAACGCAGAUUUUAACAAAUAUCUUCCGCUUCGAGCCCGUUCUGUUUUUGUUGGCAAGUGCCAAGAGGCAUCCCACUGCUCUCUUUUGCAAGCUGCUGCUGCUGCCCAAGUGUCUCCUUGGACGGGAACUGCUCUAGCCACAAAGGUUUCAUGUCUCCUGUUAAAGAAAGAAGCUCCAGGCUUCAAAAAAGCAAAAGUGACUCUAGCUUGGAAGACUGUUAAGGCUGUUGA
rnacentral:lncRNA from 1 species